UGGGGAAUAUUGGACAAUGGGGGGAACCCUGAUCCAGCCAUGCCGCGUGUGUGAAGAAGGCCUUAUGGUUGUAAAGCACUUUAAGCGAGGAGGAGGGUACUGGUAUUAAUACUACCAGGUACUGGACGUUACUCGCAGAAUAAGCACCGGCUAACUCUGUGCCAGCAGCCGCGGUAAUACAGAGGGUGCGAGCGUUAAUCGGAUUUACUGGGCGUAAAGCGUGCGUAGGCGGCUAAUUGAGUCGGAUGUGAAAUCCCCGAGCUUAACUUGGGAAUUGCAUUUGGUACUGGUUUGCUAGAGUAGGGCAGAGGGUGGUGGAAUUUCCUGUGUAGCGGUGAAGUGCGUAGAUAUAGGAAGGAACACCAGUGGCGAAGGCGACCACCUGGGCUCAUACUGACACUGAGGUGCGAAAGCGUGGGGAGCAAACAGG
rnacentral:rRNA from 1 species